rnacentral:rRNA from 1 species
UCUGUGAAAGCCCGGGGCUUAACCCCGGGUCUGCAGUGGGUACGGGCAGGCUAAGUGUGGUAGGGGAGACUGGAAUUCCUGGUGUAGCGGUGGAAUGCGCAGAUAUCAGGAGGAACACCGAUGGCGAAGGCAGGUCUCUGGGCCACUACUGACGCUGAGAAGCGAAAGCGUGGGGAGCGAACAGGAUUAGAUACCCUGGUAGUCCACGCCGUAAACGUUGGGCGCUAGGUGUGGGUCCCAUUCCACGGGGUCCGUGCCGCAGCUAACGCAUUAAGCGCCCCGCCUGGGGAGUACGGCCGCAAGGCUAAAACUCAAAGGAAUUGACGGGGGCCCGCACAAGCGGCGGAGCAUGCGGAUUAAUUCGAUGCAACGCGAAGAACCUUACCAAGGCUUGACAUGUACCGGAAACUCCCAGAGAUGGGGGCCCCGCAAGGUCGGUACACAGGUGGUGCAUGGUUGUCGUCAGCUCGUGUCGUGAGGUGUUGGGUUAAGUCCCGCAACGAGCGCAACCCUCGUUCUAUGUUGCCAGCACGUGAUGGUGGGGACUCAUAGGAGACUGCCGGGGUCAACUCGGAGGAAGGUGGGGAUGACGUCAAAUCAUCAUGCCCCUUACGUCUUGGGCUUCACGCAUGCUACAAUGGCCGGUACAGAGGGCUGCGAAACCGUGAGGUGGAGCGAAUCCCUUAAAGCUGGUCUCAGUUCGGAUUGGGGUCUGCAACUCGACCCCAUGAAGUCGGAGUCGCUAGUAAUCGCAGAUCAGCAACGCUGCGGUGAUACGUUCCCGGG